rnacentral:rRNA from 1 species
CCCUUAGAUGUUCUGGGCAGCACGCGCGCUACAAUGGUCUUCGCAAACGGAUGCAUUCUCGAAGGAGAAUGCCAAUCUUGGAAUCUAUGCCUUGGUCGGGACAGUUGCUUGCAAUUUUUCGACUCGAACCAGGAAUUCCUUGUAAUCGUGAUUCAUCACAUCACGAUGAAUACGUCCCUGCCCUUUGUACACACCGCCCGUCGCUCCUACCGAUUGCGUGUGUUGGUGAGGAGUUUGGAUUGGCCUCGGAAGGUGGUUCGCCACCGUCCGUAGCUGAGAAGUUCUCCAAACCGCCCCACUUAGAGGAAGGAGAAGUCGUAACA